AGCAGCCAGGCUUUGAAGCUGCAAGGCUAUUCAAUGGUAUUCAAGUUGGGUAACUAUGGAGUCCCCUAGGUAUGAAGCAGCCAGGCUUUGGAGCUGCAAGGCUAUUCAAUGGCAUUCAAGUUGGGUAAAUAUGGAGUCCCCUAGGUAUGAAGCAGCCAGGCUUUGGAGCUGCAAGGCUAUUCAAUGGCAUUCAAGUUGGGUAAAUAUGGAGUCCCCUAGGUAUGAAGCAGCCAGGCUUUGGAGCUGCAAGGCUAUUCAAUGGCAUUCAAGUUGGGUAAAUAUGGAGUCCCCUAGGUAUGAAGCAGCCAGGCUUUGGAGCUGCAAGGCUAUUCAAUGGCAUUCAAGUUGGGUAAAUAUGGAGUCCCCUAGGUAUGAAGCAGCCAGGCUUUGGAGCUGCAAGGCUAUUCACUGGCAUUCAAGUUGGCCAAGAAUGGAGUCCCCUAGGUAUGAAGCAGUCAGGC